rnacentral:rRNA from 1 species
CCUACGGGAGGCAGCAGUAGGGAAUAUUGCUCAAUGGGGGAAACCCUGAAGCAGCAACGCCGCGUGGAGGAUGAAGGUUUUCGGAUUGUAAACUUCUUUUGUUAGAGAAGAAAAUGACGGUAUCUAACGAAUAAGCACCGGCUAACUCCGUGCCAGCAGCCGCGGUAAUACGGAGGGUGCAAGCGUUACUCCGAAUUACUGGGCGUAAAGGGCGCGUAGGGGGGUUAGCAAGUCAGAUGUGAAAUCCUAUGGGUUAAACAUAGAAUUGCAUUUGAAACUGUUAUUCUAGAGUAUAGGAGAGGUAGGUGGAAUUCUUGGUGUAGGGGUAAAAUCCGUAGAGAUCAAGAAGAA